CAGCAUUCGCAAUACAAACACGCACCCUCUCCUCAGGACAGGAGGUGGAACAACCAUUUUGCACCUAUGGGAAAUGGGAAAGAAAUACUGUCUUCUCCAGCAGCUCUGCAGAUCUGAAGAUGUCCACAUCAAAUGACUCAUAGAGCACUUGGCAGGGAAAAGUCUUGUCAAGCUGGCAACGUGAAGUGGAGAAAUCAGAGUGAAGAACAAACCUAGACCACUAGAUAGACCUGAUCCCACUUUUUUUAAACAACUCCAUAUCCUUGGCAAGCUGCUCUCUGCUGCAGAAGAUGUGACAAGAGCCUGGUGACUGGUACGAGUGACCUUCCAAAGGAUUAGCCAGAGAUGUGUGACUGCCAGUGAAUAACUCUAUUCAUUUAUUAUCUGUGAUGAACAGUAAAUCAUUCUAGUAAGAUACUUUUCCAUUCAUUCACUGCUUGAGAAUGAUUAGAAGCAAAUAGCCCUUAAAAGCUUUUCCAGUGGAGCUGAGCAAAACGUACACAGGGAGAGCCAAAAACUUUGUCCCAUUCACUUGCGGUCAAAUCAUAUCAAUAGAGUUGGACAAACAGAAAAAAAAAUGGUGUGUGAGCACACACAGAUGUCCCUUCAUCCCCCUCCUUAUAUUUUCUGGCCUCCUGACCAUCCAUGUUCAUGCUACUACCCUAGAAAACAUUUGCCCAAACAGUUUUUUGAUCUGAUGAAGCAACAACACAGUUUAGAACAGCACAGUUCCAGUGUAAACUAACUACCUGUGGAUAAAAUAGAGCAUUUGUGUUACCCAGAUGGUUCACCAGUGAAUGUCAGUGCUGGGAUUACUUCUAAACCUAUCUGUGGCUGUAAACAGCAAUGACUUAGGAAAGGUAGCAGGCAGCUGCUGCAUAGCUGGAGAGGCUGUCAUUUCCAUUCAUCCACACAUGUAAAUACCACAUGCCAGAGUUAGGAAGAAAGAUAUCAAGGAUCUGAAUCAAGGUGUGAAUCAACAUCCCAUGUCAUGCUCCUUACUUCUGCCAAUACAUAUGAGAUAUUCCUAUGUCAUGGUGUGGCAUGAACACACCACAUUACAAAACAUAGCUAAACCAGCUGCAAAUUGGCAAAGGGAAUCAAAGACCAAUGUAUCUCCAAGAUUGCUGCACUGGAGGCUUCCCACGUCUGCGAGGCCCCUGCUGAAGUCCUUGCCAUCUGACCUGAAGCAGAAGCUUGUCUUCACAGACUAAGAGAACCUAUGAUUUGGCUGCAGAAAAGGUGACUCUCCCAUUAAGAAAGCGUGAUGGCCCAGCAGCUAUCCCACCAAAAAUAACUCAGCAGAUCUUAUCCUAUCUAUUUUCUGUGAGCAAUCCUAUCUAGCAAACUUUUCCCACUCAUCUCCACUUCUUCUAUUAUUUCUAAUUCUUUUUCUUCUAUUAUAUUUUUUAGGUACUGCUUACAGAUUUAUCUUUUCUCUCUGUAGGCAUGACUGACAUUCAAAUAAGAGCAAAUGAAUUUCUCUUUUCGACUCUGCUUCAAAGUCAACAGUGGUCAUGUGUAUAUGACAAAAGUAGGAAACCAGUGGGGCUAUUUGCUUGAAAUGAUAAUGCUGUAUUUCACAGCCCCUUUCUUGAGAAGCAAAAUUGUUGGCAUUUUGCUAAACAUCAUAUGACUCUCCAGUAGUGAGGAUUCACUACAUCUCCACUUGGAUUAAACAAAAUAAUUAACUGUUACUGAGCACAAAGAGAAAGUCACAAGGUUGCAAAGAGUAAUGCAGCUACAUGGAAGAAGAAAAGCUCUCUUUAAGCUGAUGAUUGAACUACUCAUAUAGCUAGGACACUGGCCUCAGCACUGUACCCUUUUCUGUGUAUUUGCAGCUGCUCUUGGCUUCUGAGAACUGCUAUGAAGCACGGACUCCAGAUGAGCUCAUGUUCAUACAAAGCUAACAAUUACCUUUGGUUUUGACUGCUGCAGGAGACUCUAUAGCUUCCUUCCCAAUCCACACUCGUACUUUCCAACCCUCAAAAAUGCCAUGUGCUUAGGGAAAUAAAUAUACUAAGGAGUAGGUAGAACUUUCACAUCAUUCAUGGGACAAAGAAAUUGAUUUGCGUAACAGUAGUUUUCCUAAUCUGCAUCUUUUCUCCAUGUAACUUUACCACCCUCUCCUCUUUCCUCCUGAAAUUUACACUGUUCUUUUUCCAGCAGCCAUUACGUUUAUAAAUCAUUCGUGACAAGUAGCUAUAAAGAGUGAUUAAUGUUACUUCUUUAAAAAAGGGAUUACAAUGCAAUGAUUUCACAUGCAGAGUGGAUUUACAGUUCCCAAGGCUCCACCAGUUCCAUCGACAGGGCUUUAAACCACACUGCCUUUUGCUCAUGGCAGACCUCAAGGCCACUGAGCCUCCAUGAUUACUCCUUCAAUACAGAUAACUGGGGAUAACCACAGGUUUUUGGCUGGGUCCGCUCACACAACAGUAAUUAGUAACUCCUGCUGACAACAAUUAGACUUCUCAUAUGAGUAAUAACACAUUAAUUUGAGAGAAAACGAAUAUUUAGUCAUUCAAAUCCAGAGCAGCCAUAGCUUUCUAAGCAAGGAGGCAAUUCGUUUUCUUCAUACAGUUUCCUGAGCAGACAGAUGUGUCAGAGACCAACAACUGGUCUUAUCUAUGGCUUAGCACUGGAAAAACACAGCAAAAAUGCAUACCAGUCUGGACACUAAACAACAACAAAAACCUUGGCUUUAUGUGCAGAAUAACCACAAAUGGCUUAUGAUUGAUUGAUUACGCAUCAUCAUAUGACAAGCCCGCAGCUAUUAAAGCACACUGAUGAACAAACUAACAUGAAACAAACUCCACUAAGUAGACUACAAUAAAUACUUUGCCCCAAAGAAGUUUUCUAGACUCUUUUAGAAGCCAAAAAAUCAUAGAAAUAUUUAAUAGCCAGACUGCUAUGUCAUAAGUAAUGAAUUCACUAAAACUUAAUAACUGUUGCAACAAAAAUAAAAAAAAAAGUAGUUGGGUCAGGAGAGUCUCCUUGUCCUUUGUCUCCAAAUAAUCCUGGGCCCUUCCCUCCCCUUUGCAAGAUGGCAAAGAGUUAAAUGCAGCAGCAGAGAACACAGGGAAUGGAGAAGACAGGCAG
ensembl:lncRNA